GGCCUGCCCCUCCGCCGCUCACCGGCCGAGCCAUGUGGCGGGGCGGGCCCGCGGGCCUCCCGCCUCCCUGGGGUCCCAGCCGCCGCCCUGAGGGAGCGAGGGUCAGAGGCAGGCCGUCCGAGCUGGCCGUGCUCCCGGGGGCCGCCUCCUGUGCCGCCGCAGCUUGGAUUCCUGUAGAAAGGACUGGAAGUUUCGGCGGUACUUGGCUUGCGCUUGUCCGAGGCCUAGAGUACACCGAGAGAUGUCACACCAGUCACUUGUAUCAUACGUGAGGUGAAACAAACGCACUGAGAAUCAACAGUUCCACUCUCCCCAGGUCUCAGAUUCAGAUUUUCCAGUGUGGAUAAAAAGAACAGGCAAUGGCAGUGUGUGAGCAGAAUGGUAGGGGUUGGAUGGGACCUCUGAAGAUCAUUGGAGUCCAACCCCACUGCCAGAGCAGAAUCACCUAAAGUAGAUCACAGAGCAGCAUGUCCUGGCAGGCUGCUCUCUAGAAGCAGAGUUCACCACCGCUCUGGGCAGCCUGUUCCAGUGUUCUGCCAGCCUCAAAGUAGAGAAGCUUCUUCUCAUGUUUAGGUGGAACUUCCUACAUUGAAGUUUAUGCCCAUUACCUCUUGCCCUGUCGCUGGGGACCACUGAGAAGAGCCUGGCCCCAUUGUCCAUGCCAAAGGAAGCUCAGCUUCUCAACAGCAUGUAUAGUCAGCAGGGAGGAUCUCACCUUGCCUUGUUUCAUCCUGCAGCCUGGCUUCUCUCCUUCUCUCUGGAUGUAACUGCUCAUUCAUCAAGGCAACACCACAGAGCCAUCUUCUCCUUUCAGAAGACAGCUUUUGCAUAAUUAUUACUCUUCCAAGUGCACCUGCCACAAAUGCUUCCUUCGAUCUUUGUGUGGAUGUGGGAGUUGACAACUGCCUUUACUUCGUUGCCAGGGUGAUACUGAAGCCACUGCCUUCUGAAACGGUUGCUGAUGUGAGCCAGUGUCCAGCUUCUAAGGCUCUGAAAUCACCACUGCUAGCAGGUAGCAGACAUGUUUGUGUCAGAGACUCAGCUUCUGCCGUCAGAGAGCUGCUAUACUGCAUCAAGAGCUGGUUCCAUGAAACAAGGCAAAUGUACAGACCAAUUCCUUUUUUGGAGAACUGGGGAAGUCUCACUCCCACGAUCUGCCUGCACUCACUGGAUUCUUUGAGAGGAUUUAACUCAUCAUCCAGAAACCCAAAUAGAGACAUUGUCCAACUCAGACAGUUCUGACCCCUCCAUGGUGCACACUGGAGAAGCAACAGAUUCUACAGAUGCCAGUUAAGUGAAACAUCCAAGCAUCUCUCUGCAUUUUCUGCCUGAAGUACACAUUUCAACACAAUAAAGAAAAGCCAAGCUCCAUAUGCACUUUAGUUUGAGAAUUUCAUCUUGUCUGACAGAGGAUAAAGACCUGUGAAAGGAAACAAACCCUUUCCUUGUUUACAUCUGAUGGAAAAUGCUGGUUGGAGCUGCCAGUGCAGCUGGGUGGACAUCACUGCUGUUACAUUAAGCUCCCAUUCACAUUC